rnacentral:misc_RNA from 1 species
GACAUCCAAGACCACUAACCGAUUCAUGAUAUUUCAUAAAUUUCAAAUAUGACCUAUUCAUCCCAUGUUUCUUAAGCGAAUAGCAUGGUUGUUAGUGCAAGCAUGAACCAACUUUAUUACCAAGAGAAAAUAACUCAACAAUAGUUGAAAAAAAGUUUACUCCAUAUAUGUAGAGAAACUAAAGAACUAGGGCAAGACAAAGUGGGAACAUUAUCUAUGAAAUGAAGUUGAUUGUUGUAUACAACCUGAGAUUGCAA